CCCAGAGUUUCUAACUCUGUGUUGGAAGGUUUAAAGAAUUAUCCAGCGCUGACAGAAUAAAGAACUGAUUUUAGCAGCAAUGGUUUGACUCAAGUUUUCUUGAAUUAGACUGGCAAAAAGAACUCAUUUUAACAUUUUGUGUCAGAACUGG